rnacentral:rRNA from 1 species
AGCAGUGGGGAAUAUUGGACGAUGGGCGCAAGCCUGAUCCAGCAAUGCCGCGUGGAUGAAGAAGGUUUUCGGAUUGUAAAGUCCUUUCGACGGGGACGAUGAUGACGGUACCCGUAGAAGAAGCCCCGGCUAACUUCGUGCCAGCAGCCGCGGUAAUACGAAGGGGGCUAGCGUUGCUCGGAAUGACUGGGCGUAAAGGGCGCGUAGGCGGAAUGCUUUGUCGGGCGUGAAAUUCCAGGGCUUAACCUUGGGACUGCGUUCGAGACGGGUAUUCUAGAGUGGAGGAGAGGGUCGUGGAACUCCCAGUGUAGAGGUGAAAUUCGUAGAUAUUGGGAAGAACACCGGUGGCGAAGGCGGCGACCUGGUCUUUUACUGACGCUGAGG